UUUACUAAAAACAGGUGGACUUGCGGCAUAAAUUAGCAUUAUGCUAACUAGGUAGCUACUGAUCUUGAUGCACGUGCAGUUAGGUUUGCUUCAUUUUUUUUUUAAUGGCUUUAAAAUUUGAUGAAGCAUCCUAAUUAAAGAGACCACCCAGUUCCAAGCCAAGCUGUCUCAGAUUCUCCUUUUCUACAACUUCCAAUUACAAUACAAGAUGGUGUUGGCUUGGCUAGGUGCUCCUAACCGAUGUGGGGUUCCUCUCUGGACGCCGAUCCCGUGUCCCUGUCGUUUCCACCGGUCAAAAUUUCUGUGGCUUGGAGAUGUCACUGAUCCUACUACCAUUAAUCCCACUUGUCUAUUUUGUGUCUUGUUAGCUAAAAGUCAUGCAAAGAAAGACUAGAGACAUGAAACAGCAUUAAACAACUUGAAUUAAUCCAAUUUCAAUUUCAUAAUAUGGAUACAGAACAUACAUAAUCGGAAGUUCUUGCUCAAUUUCACUAGGCUUACCAGCCGAUUUAAGUUUUCAUCGAGUACAGAAACGAGGCCAUGCCUGCUCUGCCCAGUUAAAUGACACCCCAUCCCUCGGCAAACUAUUUACUUGCAGAGGAAAAGCUUGCUUUGACCAAAUGUAACAAAUCUGAGUUAUCAAUGAUUCUGUCAAAGAAAACAAAAGGGCGAUCGGAAAGUUUAUUUUGUACACUGUCUACCCUACCCAUCAAACGAACCAUGUUGUUCAUUGCCUUAUCUUUUCUUUUUCAAUCAAGAUCAUCAGCUUGCACUGAAAUAUACAGUUUACUAUAUCUUCCGAGGCUAUACACCAAUAUACAUUAUGAAAACUAUACGAUGGACACGAAUCAUAGCAAAGGAAACAGAACGAAUAUGUUUUUAUUGCAAGUAAAAAGAGGUCGAACAAGAAAAAAUUUCUCCGAGGGCGGUAGCAGAGAGUAUGAUAUUUCCUUGCAUGAAGCAUAGUCAGUCAAGUGUUCUUCUCCAAAACAGAUAGUGCU